rnacentral:rRNA from 1 species
CUACGGGUGGCACCAGUGAGGAAUAUUGCACAAUGGGGGGAACCCUGAUGCAGCAACGCCACGUGGAGGAUGACGCAUUUCGGUGUGUAAACUCCUUUUAUAUGUCAAGAAAAUGACGGUAGCAUAUGAAUAAGCACCGGCUAACUCCGUGCCAGCAGCCGCGGUAAUACGGAGGGUGCAAGCGUUACUCGGAAUCACUGGGCGUAAAGGACGCGUAGGCGGGUUGGAAAGUCAGGUGUGAAAUCCUACAGCUUAACUGUAGAACUGCACUUGAAACUUCUAAUCUAGAGUAUGGGAGGGGGAGAUGGAAUUAGUGGUAUAGGGGUAAAAUCCGUAGAUAUCACUAGGAAUACCUAAAGCGAAGGCGAUCUCCUGGAACAUUACUGACGCUAAGGCGUGAAAGCGUGGGGAGCAAACAGGAUUAGAUACCCCUGUAGUC